rnacentral:rRNA from 1 species
AGAGCGAACGCUGGCGGCAGGCCUAACACAUGCAAGUCGAGCGCCCGUAGCAAUACGGGAGCGGCAGACGGGAUAGUAACACGUGGGAACGCGCCCUUCGGUUCGGAAUAACUCAGGGAAACUUGAGCUAAUACCGGAUACGCCCUUACGGGGAAAGAUUUAUUGCCGAAGGAACGGCCCGCGUCCGAUUAGCUAGUUGGUGAGGUAAUGGCUCACCAAGGCGACGAUCGGUAGCUGGUCUGAGAGGAUGACCAGCAUCACUGGGACUGAGACACGGCCCAGACUCCUACGGGAGGCAGCAGUGGGGAAUAUUGGACAAUGGGCGCAAGCCUGAUCCAGCCAUGCCGCGUGGAUGAUGAAGGCCUUAGGGUUGUAAAGCUCUUUCGCUCGGGACGAUAAUGACGGUACCGAGAGAAGACGCCCGGCUAACUUCGUGCCAGCAGCCGC